rnacentral:rRNA from 1 species
AGGGAAUCUUCCGCAAUGGACGAAAGUCUGACGGAGCAACGCCGCGUGAGUGAAGAAGGCCUUCGGGUCGUAAAACUCUGUUGCCGGGGAAGAACAAGUGCCGUUCGAACAGGGCGGCGCCUUGACGGUACCCGGCCAGAAAGCCACGGCUAACUACGUGCCAGCAGCCGCGGUAAUACGUAGGGGGCGAGCGUUGUCCGGAAUUAUUGGGCGUAAAGCGCGCGCAGGCGGCUUCUUAAGUCUGAUGUGAAAUCUUGCGGCUCAACCGCAAGCGGUCAUUGGAAACUGGGAGGCUUGAGUGCAGAAGAGGAGAGUGGAAUUCCACGUGUAGCGGUGAAAUGCGUAGAGAUGUGGAGGAACACCAGUGGCGAAGGCGACUCUCUGGGCUGUAACUGACGCUGAGGCGCGAAAGCGUGGUGAGCAAAC